GAUGAACGCUGGCGGCGUGCCUAAUACAUGCAAGUCGAGCGAACGGACGAGAAGCUUGCUUCUCUGAUGUUAGCGGCGGACGGGUGAGUAACACGUGGAUAACCUACCUAUAAGACUGGGAUAACUUCGGGAAACCGGAGCUAAUCCCGGAUAAUAUUUUGAACCGCAUGGUUCAAAAGUGAAAGACGGUCUUGCUGUAACUUAUAGAUGGAUCCGCGCUGCAUUAGCUAGUUGGUAAGGUAACGGCUUACCAAGGCAACGAUGCAUAGCCGACCUGAGAGGGGGAUCGGCCACACUGGAACUGGACCACGGUCCAGACUCCUACGGGAGGCAGCAGUAGGGAACCGUCCGCAAUGGGCGAAAGCCUGACGGAGCAACGCCGCGUGAGUGAUGAAGGUCUUCGGAUCGUAAAGCUCUGUUAUUAGGGAAGAACAUAUUUGUAAGUAACUGUGCACAUCUUGACGGUACCUAAUCAGAAAGCCACGGCUAACUACGUG
rnacentral:rRNA from 1 species